UACGGAAGGCAGCAGUGGGGAAUAUUGCACAAUGGGCGCAAGCCUGAUGCAGCCAUGCCGCGUGUAUGAAAAAGGCCUUCGGGUUGUAAAGUACUUUCAGUCGUGAGGAAGGUGUUAAGGUUAAUAACCUUAGCAAUUGACGUUAGCGACAGAAGAAGCACCGGCUAACUCCGUGCCAGCAGCCGCGGUAAUACGGAGGGUGCGAGCGUUAAUCGGAAUUACUGGGCGUAAAGGGCACGCAGGCGGUUAAUUAAGUUGGAUGUGAAAUCCCCGGGCUUAACCUGGGAAUGGCAUUCAAGACUGGUUAGCUAGAGUCUUGUAGAGGGGGUUAGAAUUCCAUGUGUAGCGGUGAAAUGCGUAGAGAUGUGGAGGAAUACCGGUGGCGAAGGCGGCCCCUGGACAAAGACUGACGCUCAUGUGCGAAAGCGUGGGGAGCAAACAGGGAUU
rnacentral:rRNA from 1 species